CCCAUUCCUCUGUGUCUGUAACAGGGGAGCUUCUUCCUUCUUUCUUCUCCCUUCUUUCUUGCCUGUUAAACUCUCUGCUUCUUAAAACCACUCCAUGUAUGUCCAGGUCAUUUUAUCUAAUUUGGAGACGGAGAACCCUGGUGUUCCUCUGCUCAUCAGAGCCGUCUCACCUGCAAGGGCCAGGAUCCAGCACUAGGGCUGCCCUUUAUGUUCAUGCAGCCUCCACUAGGAAGAUCCUCCUUAGCUGCCACCUGCUGUAAAGGGAUCUAUCUAUCUAUCUGUCUAUCUAUCUAUCUAUCUAUCUUUCUAUCUACCUGUCGAGAGAGAGAGAGGUUUAUUAUAAGGAAUUGACUCAUGUGAUUAUGGAGGCUGAGAAGUUCCACAGUCUGCUGUCUGCAAGCUGGAGACCCAGGAAGGCUGCUGGUGCCGUUCCAGUUUGAUUCUGAAGGCCUGAGAACCAGAACUGAUGCUCAACAUUGGAAUCCCUGCUCUUUCACUGCACACACUGACCACCCACUGCAGGCUGGGGGUCCUAGAGGAUUUCACGUGCUAGGCUGUCCCAAAUAGAGGAGGUCCUGCUACAGCACCGGCACCAUUAGUCCUUUCUGGGCCGUGCUCUGUGAGCCCUUGAGAGGACAAGAAACCAAUGUCAAAGCCAUGGAAUGAUCCCAUUCAAUUCUCAUCAAGGAAUAGAGAAGACAUAAAAUUCAGCAAAUGGAGGAGCCCACUCAACAUGAAGAUGACAAGGAUGAAGACCUUUAUGAUGAUCCAUUCCCACUUACUGAAUAUGUUACUUCGUAUUAGAGAGAAUGUUUUUAUUCUCAGGCGAUAGAUGCAAAAAUAUUUAAAGUGCAGCUCACUUUCAAACGGUUCAGCCAAAUGUCGAUGAUUUUUGAAUCUAAGUGGAUGAAGCUUCUUGGUGAUGUAACAGUCUGUGGAAACUCCCACAGGACAAAUGCAGAAAGGAAGGACCUAGAUCACUGGAUGGUCAACGUUGCCCCUUGCACAGCAGCAAAGGCCUAUACAAAUUUUUUGAGUAGCUUUAUCUAGUGGUUCAGCUACUGGGAAUAACUUGUAAAAUCCCCUGGAUAGUCAACAGCAUUGGGGCUUGCUUUGUAAACAGAGACCUGACCUACUUAAUUCUUCCCAGAGGUUGGAAAAAGAGGCUGGACUCACACAGACAUGAAACCUUGGCUUAAUUGGACACUAAUUACUCAUAAGAGAUCUGUUUACCCGAACUUCCCCUAGACCAAGCUCAGUAUAAAAUGAGAGGAUGCAUAAAGAAGCAAGAUAUUUAGAGGAAAAUGUCACAAAUACAUUUAUCAGUCCCAAAAGUCCUUUUUUUUCCCCAGAAGUGAUGUUGCUAAUUGCACAAAAAUAAACAAUACAGGGGUUGAUAAAUUCCACAUUUAAGGGCUGAGGAUAGUGUCCCUACAUUUCUAAGAAGCUGUAUAUUUGGAAAUGAAUACAAUUGAAAGUAAGGAUAAGUGGCAUUCUAAAGCCAAUUGGAUAACUUGAAUGAACAAGCAGAAUUUACCAUAUUUUGAUAUGUUUCUUUUUGAUUAAAGUAUCUGUAAAGGAAACAAAUUAUAGUAUUGCUAUAGAUUUUAUUACUGAACAAGAAAAAAAGGCUUGAUGUUGUGCAUUUCCUUUUGGCCUUUGGUCUUGGCUGAUAUUGGGCAUCCAAUGAGCUUCUUUGUCUUGAAUGAAGACUUAAGAGGGAGUGAAAAGUAGGAAGAGCAUCAAAACUUCUUUGCAGGAUGUAAUCAAACCACCUACUACUUAUUGUCUUACGAUCCAUUUAUUCAACAAAUGGAACAUCUCAAUUGCUUGAUGCUAUUACAGACACUAGGUAUAGUCUUAGAAAAACAAAUUGCUGUUUUUAUAUAGCUUGUGUUAUGGGUUGAUGUAGUACAGUCAAAAUUAUUUAAAUAAAGGAAGAUGUGAGGAAGACUUUGAACUUAGAAAUCUGGGUUCUCAUCCAAGCUUUGCUGCUAGCUUGUUGGGGGAACCUUGGGUGAUGAGUUGGUUGACUCCUUCCAGAUCUCAGCGUUCAUCCAUCAAGUGAGGGAACUUGACCAGAUAUUCAAUAAUGGCCCUUCCAGCCCCAUCUCUAUAUGAAA
ensembl:lncRNA ETS2-AS1 ETS2 antisense RNA 1